CCCCGAUGCAAGAAGUCGACUCCGACGAAUAGUCGGAGUGUCUGCUCUGUCACUUUGUAUUCUUUUAUUUUCGUUUUGUCUUUGAUAUUUGUAAUCGGGCUUCGGUCCCAUUUUGUAAUCGGACUUCGACCUAAUUUUGUAAGUCAUUUCAAUUAAAUGGAAUCAAAGACUUUUCAAACUUUUCCCUGCGUGCGGUUCAAAGUGUUUGAUUUGCCGAGCCAUCCCCGAGAG
rnacentral:lncRNA from 1 species